CCCUCCCCUGUCUAAGCCACUGGUCUAAUGUAGUCUGAGAUAGAUCAUGUUAUCUGCCUCAGGCAACGGCAGCACGGAGCACAAGUUAAAUGAACAAUUCUUCACUUUAAUACAAGUUAUAACAUGAAUGUACAUCAUAGGAUAUGUUGAAAAAUUAAGUACAAUUUACAAUCACGCAUAAUUUCUGUGCCUAUAAGUGGUUUUAAACAGGGAAAUCUUCAGUAUAACAGCCUGUGAAGAAUGUGUUAGUCACGUGACAUUUACCUGAAGAAGAUAAAACCGUCUUUUAUUGCCAAAAUUAUAAAUACAUUAGGUCUAUACAUUUGUGCAGAAUAUAAACAAGUUUUUAUAACAACCAUUUAAAUGACUAUUCCCUGGUUUCACAGACAAGGCUUAAACCUAAUGCCAGACUAAAGUCUGAGCUGUUGCAACUGAAAGAAACUUGCACUGACUGACCUUAAAAUAUAUUGGUGCCUUUAUUUUGUCUCAAAAUGCAAACCUAGUUUAAGUUUUUUUUUUUUUUUAAGUAGUUAUCAUAAAUCUGGGUUUUGCUUUGUCAUUGUGUGGUAUGGAGUGUAUUUUUAAAAAGAAAAAAAAAAAAAAAACACCAUGUAGCCUAAUAAGCCUAAUUAUUAUUAUAUAAUGAGGUCAAGAUAUUAUUAACGUUUUGAAAAAAAAUUACUACAUUAUGAACAUUUUAUUACAAUGAUAAUGUAAUAUUCAUUACACGUAGCACGUAGCAUUAUAUCACUUGUUGUUUGCGACAAACAGUUGUUCUGUCAUGGUACGUUACAAGUCCUUGUGGAGAUUGAAAGAAUGCCAUCUUCUGCUGUUCUGUUGUCAUCUCUUUUUUUUGUAGUUUUAAAUAAAUUAUCUGUUCUUUGAUAUUAAUUUGCUGCAGUCAUGGCUGAUGCUUCUCUGACAAGCUGCUGCUUCUUCUUCAGCUUUAGUUGUGGUACUGCAGGUUACACAAGCAACGGUGGAGGCGAGGGAGCUAGGCAAGCCGAGGUGGAGCCGCUGGGUCUACGGGCCGAGGUGGAGUCCGGGCCUCAGAGGCUGGAGGAGGAGGAACAUUCACAUACACACAAUCUGCAUCUUCUCCAUCUUCUCCAUCACUGUGGUGGGAAAUUCCAUUAGAAACAUUGAUGAACAUUUGAUGAACGUUCACAGAAAACAUUGUGUCUUAAGAGUUCAGAGGGCAGCUGUGAUUUACUGUGACACUGACCGCUUUCUUUUGUGAAGGUAGAAUUUGAAGAAUACAAAGAGCAGCACAAUUGAUAUCACAACACUCAGGAAAUUCCGGAAUCCAAAGACAGCCUUAUCGUUGUCUGAGGAAGUAACACAUGAAACUAGGCUGAAUAAACUGCUUCCAGUAUGUUGGUACAUUUAAAGGUGCAAUCUUGAGUUGUUUUCUUCGUUAAAAAUGUUUUACACAAAUAAAUCAAUGCCAUAUCAGCAGAUAUAUUUACCAAAAUUGUUGAGAUCAUGCUGAGAUCCCAUGACCAGCCAAAUACUCAAUUUAUCUUUAUCCUAGCACCCCCCCAUGUUUUUGAACACUUUUGCUUGCAGAAUACACACACACACACACACACACACACAUAUAUAUAUAGCCAGACUUAAAAACUAAUAACUAAAGUGACAACUUUAAAG
rnacentral:lncRNA from 1 species